UCUUUCUCUCCCUCCCUGUUCCUCCCCUUCCUCGUCGCGGUUCUCCUCCCCCAGUUCUCUUCUUCCGCUCCGGCCUCCUCUCUCCCUCGCUUUCUCCUCCCACUCCGACUCUCUCCUGCCCUUCUUUUUCCCGUUCCCCUCUGCUUGCCGGGAUCGGAAUUCUGCCCCGACCUGCUUGUCCCGGGAGCCGCGGCGGCUCCCUGCCGGAGCUUCCAGGACCGCGGGACCUGCGGGGCCAUCUUUAUCUACGAGAGAUAGAAAUCCUCACACAUUUUAUGAAGACGAGCGUGUGUCCUUGAGGCAUGAUGUAAGAGAGUUGGAGGGUGGGGUUGCUGAUGAAUCUCUGAACAAGGUAAUAAGAAAGGCAAGAACCACAUGGGUCGGGUGGCAGCCUAGUCACCUCUUGGUACUGGGUGGAAUGCCUGCUCUAAGUUGCCGGGAGAUCAGCUGGAGAUAAAAUGUCUCUUUCCUUUUAGGUUAUGGCUUUGCUUUCUUGCCUCAGUUACUGUGUUCCUCCUGGAUAUGGACCGACUAGAAGGCAGUUGACUGGUAGUUGAGCUGGCCAUGUAUACAUCAGUUGCCUACAUGGUAGCUCAGGUGACAGGGAGGGGGUACACUUGCAGUGGGGAAGUACCAAGCUGUAUCAUGUAUGGCAAGAGUGUGGUUUGUCUCACAUGGGUUUGUAUGCUCCAAGUUUGGCUCCUAGCGGGGUGAUGCUGAGAAGUAGUUGGACCUUUAAAAUUUUAAGGCAUAGUAGAAGGUGGUUGUUAGGGCUUAUAUCUAAAUGUACCGCCCCCAAAGGCUCAUAGGUGGGGUUUGGAGAAAUGGUUGGAUCAUGCGGGUGUGAUACUUAUCAGGGGAUUAGUCUACUGGUGAGUUCAUAGUGAAAGGUGAUUAGGAAGAUGAAGUCUGGUUGGAGGAUGCAGGUUGCUGGAGCUGUAGCCUGGAAGAAUAUACCAGCCUCACACUUCCCUUGAUCUCUCCGUUUUGCAGCCUUGCCAUGAGCAAGGCUCAUCUUCCAUGCCCCUCUGCCACGCCACCCUGUUUGGAGCCAGCCAACUGUGGGCUGAAACCUCUACAAACUGUGAACCAAAAUAAACCUUUCCUG
rnacentral:lncRNA from 1 species